rnacentral:lncRNA from 1 species
AGCUUGAAAGAACAUAAGAAUUAAGAACUGAAUAUGACUGAUUCCAUCAAUUUCACAAUACUCAUAUAUCCUCCACAUAGGCAUGCUUCAUAUCCAAUUUAUAGUCCAAGGUUCAAAAGAGGUACCUGAUUGCAAUGAAUCAAAGAAAAAUCAGAAAAUAAAUCUCUGAAAGUGCAGAAUAUCAACAGGAAAAUAACUUCAAUUCAACAGCAAAAUCCCAGCAGCUCAACAAAGAAAAAUACAGAAAACAAAUGAAACAAAGGCAAGGCUAAACCUCUGUUUUUUAUUUAUUUAUUUUAUUUAAAAAAUAUGUAUUUUUUAACUUCUUUGAGGUGAGAAGAUGCAUGAAAAAGAAAUCAGAGAUGAAAGAGGAGUCAAUUUGUGUGUGAGAUGAGGUAAUAUCUCUCUGAAAAAUGCAGAAUGAAUAGUGUCUAAAAAUGCAGAAAUCCCUGUGGAGAAGAGAGUCAAUCCUCUUCAAAAUGCAGAUCGGAAUGUGUGUUAUAUGAGAGAAUGAGAGAUGGCGUAGGAGAAUCUGUCAGCCCCUAAAAAAAGGGGGGAAAAUAUCUUUUUAACAGAUUUUGGACAGCUGUCCUAUUCCAAUUAUUCUUUUCUUUCUCUUUACGCAUUUUUACUUUCUGUAUUUACUCUUCAAUCCUAACACCUAGCAAUUUAAUUUUUUUUUUAUUGCAAAUUAGCCACUCCUAGAAGCUUCCUAAAUAACUAACUAAGAUUCCCAAACCUUCAUACCCUCUUAGCCCCCUUACGUUUCUAUUCUUACAGAUUUUGCUCCUAAAGCCAGCUUGAAUUGGGCCUAAUUCUGAGCCUUGUUCCUAGCCCAAUCUACACUCCUAGGUCUAAAGCAAAAAUUAAUCAGAUCUCACAAAGCUUGUGCAUCACUAAUUGAAUUUUGGAAUUCAUUCAAAAUCAGAAUUUGAUCUCUAAUAGACUAGAAACUUAGAAUUAACAGAGUUCAAAGGCGAAGACAAAAUUAAACACACAUAGGCAUGCUCAGAAACUAAUCAACAAAAAACAGCAAAUUCAGACUAGAUUAGAAUCAUCAAACCAAACCAACCUAAAAUGUAAUUAACCUAAUUCAAAAUUGUAAUCAAUUAUCCAACAAAAUAUGCAAAUCAGGUUUAUUAACUAAUGCGUAAUCACACACAAAAAAAGCUAAUUAACAUUUCUGGCAUCAAUAACCAACUAAACUGUCAUGAAGAGAAAGGAGAACGAGAUGUACCUAGACGGAACUCGAAUUGGAAUGACAAGGUUUCAAGGGCUCUGAUUGGUCAGCAACUGAUUGACCAAAAUCCGACGGCUUCGGAAUGAACCAAAACCAACGUCAAUCAAUUGUUCUUGUUAAGAACAAUCGAUCGACGUAGGUUCUAGGUCAAAACGAGUUGAAAUCGCCAAAGAAAUCAGAAAAGAGGAAAAGAUAGGUUUUCUGGAAUUUAGAUCUAAAAAUCGGGGAACCCUAGGGUGUUUUGGAGGAAAUUAAGAGGAAAUAUAGGAUGAGGAGGAGGUGGGGAUUGUCGGGCGAAGAUUUGGGGGUGUUUGGAGUGGUGCCUCCACCGUGGGCGAUUUCCGGCUACGGCUUUGGGCGGAGGAUGAGAGAGAGGAGAAGAAGGUAUCUAGGAAGGGUUUUGGGGGUAG